CCCCUAGUUGUGGUUGACAUGUCCAAUCCCUCUCCCUAGCCUCAGCAAGGGGUUAUUUUUUAGUGCAAAUGCAGUUAGUGCAGUUGUAAGGGUCCUGGGUUUACAACCACAAGGAUGUAGCUUUGAAAAAAGCUGAGCAUGACAAGCGUGUGGUAUGGCUAGACCUGCCAAGAUUUCAUGGUCUCAACCUGGUCUCAGGUGGUGUUAUGGUCUAUGCCCUUUUGUGAACUGAGUGGAACAAACCAAGAAAAUGAUACUCUAGCUGCUUGUGAAAUUUGCAAUCAAAGUUGGAUCUUCAUAUGUUACCAUUAUAGCAGUGUGUAUGCUGGCCAAUUGGUACUCUUAAGUUGUUUACAUGGGAAAUGAUGAUAUGCUGAUUUGUAUGUGUGUAUUUUCUGUUAUGCAUUUUAUCUUAGACUUUUCCCUAACACAUAAAUGCAGCUUUUUGGUUUUGCGUAUCUUGGACCAUUUGGGCAUUUCCUACAUAUAAUACUGGAUAAAAUGUUCAAAGGGAAGAAGGAUACAAAAACAGUUGCCAAGAAGGUAUGUUAAUACUUGUGUGACUCCACUCAACAGGAAAAUUCCAUAUUCUCAGUUCUCUUAUUUCACAUUGACAUCUAUAGUGAUUAGUAAUCUGCUUAAGUUUCCAAUCAAAUGAUGAAUUUUGUUGUCAAAUACUUCAAACCUAAUGUUUUAUUUGAAUUUUGAUUAAUAAAUUACAUCAUUCUGAUGCCUACUUGAAGUAAAUUGUUGUGAAAUGAAGAAUUAAAAUUUUCAGGUAGUGCUGGAGCAGUUGACAUCUUCUCCUUGGAACAACAUGCUGUUCAUGAUUUACUACGGUGUGAUCGUUGAAAGAAGGCCCUGGAUGCAUGUGAAAACUAAAAUAAAAAAAGAAUACCCAACAGUGCAGUUCACCUCAUGGACGUUCUGGCCAGUUGUGGGAUGGGUGAAUCACCAGUAUGUGCCACUGCAGUUUCGUGUCAUUUUCCACAGUGUCGUUGCAUGUGGCUGGGGAAUAUUUCUGAAUCUGCGAGCAAGGUCUAUGGCAUUGACAAAAGGUUGAAGUAUGUCUCCAAUGACAGAGUCCCCUAUUCCAGCAACACUACAUAUGACUAAUAGGGUGUGUGCUUUGAAUGAUUAAUUAUUCAAAUUAGUCUUCAUUAUUCAAUAAACUUGAAUUCAUUCCUUGUGCAAAGUUAUUUGCAUGUGAAAAGCAAUGCACCGUGUGAGAUUGUGAAUGAAUUCAAGGACAAGGAGUCUUUUAUCUUUGAUAUGAAAGUGGAAAAUGUACGAGAUUGAAUCAGAAUUCAGAAUGUGUGAUAUUUGAACGUCCGACCUGCAAUGAAAUUGGACUUCUUACCUAA
rnacentral:misc_RNA from 1 species